AAUAGGCUAAUUAAGAGCGUAAGGGGAAUGCCUUGGCUCUCAGAGGCGAUGAAGGACGUGAUAAGCUGCGAUAAGCUUUGGGGAGUGGCACAAACACUUUGAUCCGAAGAUUUCCGAAUGGGGCAACCCGGCAUACUGAAGAUAUGUCACACUGUAAAGUGAGCAAACCUGGUGAACUGAAACAUCUAAGUAACCAGAGGAAUAGAAAACAAAAGUGAUUCCGCUAGUAGUGGCGAGCGAACGUGGAACAGCCCAAACCUAUGUUGUUACGGCAAUAUAGGGGUUGUAGGACCUCAACAUUUAAUGCUAAAAGAACUAGAAUUUACUGGAAAGUAAAACCAUAGAGGUGAUAGUCCUGUAUAGGUAAUUGAUGUAAUUAAUAAGAGGUAUCCUGAGUAGUACGGGCACGUGAAACCUUGUAUGAAACUGCCGGGACCAUCCGUAGCUAAUACUCCUGA
rnacentral:rRNA from 1 species